rnacentral:rRNA from 1 species
AGAUCGAACUGAAGAGUUUGAUCCUGGCUCAGAUUGAACGCUGGCGGCAUGCCUUACACAUGCAAGUCGAACGGCAGCACGGGGGCAACCCUGGUGGCGAGUGG